AGCUCCUGCUGCGGUGGCAGACAUGGGAGAGACACGCAAGCUGCAAAGGGAAGCAGAGUCAAAUUAAAGCCUCGCAACCACGACUCGGCUUGUGGCGCUGCGGAUGGGGGGUCCCUCCCUCCCUCGGCUUGAUGAAGGUGGGUGUGAGAUCCCACAGGACUGUCUGGAAGAGAGCCCGUGGAAGUCACUGUAUUUUGCAGAAGCUGGAGGCAAAGCAGAAGAUUGCAGCCUGACACUUCUGCCUCUUUUCCCUCUGGGCAUAUCUUACCGGGCCUUUGCAGGUCAUGGCUGGACUGUUGUGGUGGUAUAACUGAAACAAACUGAAGAGAUUGAUGGAAAAAAUUCUAAAAGCAAGGGCAGAAUCUAAAAGCCUGGAUCAUAAAAGAAGGAAUGCUGCAAGACAAAAGCUGCUGAGGCAAGAGCUGAGAACAGAAAUACAGAGGAGAGACAGUGCCCAUACACAAUGUUCCAACUGAGUGCGGAGAAGAGAAAUUGUCCAACACCUGCCAGUUCAAGAAUAACCGCAUAUGAUGUGACUCCAAGGGGGCGAAAUAGAACAGGGCUAGGGUGGCAGAGGAAUUCAAGACAGCAGCUGGAAAAGAACUGUGUUGAAAGCCCAGCUGUGCCUCACCCUGUCCCUGUGAUGGUGGGGACAUCACAU
rnacentral:lncRNA from 1 species